AUUGAACGCUGGCGGCAUGCCUUACACAUGCAAGUCGAACGGCAGCGCGGGGCAACCUGGCGGCGAGUGGCGAACGGGUGAGUAACAUAUCGGAACAUACCCUAGAGUGGGGAUAACGUAGCGAAAGUUACGCUAAUACCGCAUACGCACUAAGGUGGAAAGUGGGGGAUUCGCAAGAACCUCAUGCUCAUGGAGUGGCCGAUAUCUGAUUAGCUAGUUGGUGAGGGUUAAAGGCUCACCAAGGCGACGAUCAGUAGCUGGUUUGAGAGAACGACCAGACCACACUGGAACUGAGACACGGUCCAGACUCCUACGGGAGGCAGGCA
rnacentral:rRNA from 1 species